rnacentral:rRNA from 1 species
AGAGUUUGAUCCUGGCUCAGGAUGAACGCUGGCGGCGUGCUUAACACAUGCAAGUCGAACGGAGUGAUGAUUUCGGUUAUCACUUAGUGGCGAACGGGUGAGUAACGCGUGAGAAACCUGCCUUUCAGUGGGGGACAACAGUUGGAAACGACUGCUAAUACCGCAUAAUGUUAUUUGGGGGCAUCCCCGAGUAACCAAAGAUUUAUUGCUGAAAGAUGGUCUCGCGUCUGAUUAGCUAGAUGGCGGGGUAACGGCCCACCAUGGCGACGAUCAGUAGCCGGUCUGAGAGGAUGAACGGCCACAUUGGGACUGAGAUACGGCCCAGACUCCUACGGGAGGCAGCAGUGGGGAAUAUUGCACAAUGGGCGAAAGCCUGAUGCAGCGACGCCGCGUGAGGGACGAAGGCCUUCGGGUUGUAAACCUCUUUCAGCAGGGAAGAAGCGAAAGUGACGGUACCUGCAGAAGAAGCGCCGGCUAACUACGUGCCAGCAGCCGCGGUAAUACGUAGGGCGCAAGCGUUAUCCGGAAUUAUUGGGCGUAAAGAGCUCGUAGGCGGUUUGUCGCGUCUGCUGUGAAAGCCCGGGGCUCAACCCCGGGUCUGCAGUGGGUACGGGCAGACUAGAGUGCAGUAGGGGAGACUGGAAUUCCUGGUGUAGCGGUGAAAUGCGCAGAUAUCAGGAGGAACACCGAUGGCGAAGGCAGGUCUCUGGGCUGUAACUGACGCUGAGGAGCGAAAGCAUGGGGAGCGAACAGGAUUAGAUACCCUGGUAGUCCAUGCCGUAAACGUUGGGCACUAGGUGUGGGGGACAUUCCACGUUUUCCGCGCCGUAGCUAACGCAUUAAGUGCCCCGCCUGGGGAGUACGGCCGCAAGGCUAAAACUCAAAGGAAUUGACGGGGGCCCGCACAAGCGGCGGAGCAUGCGGAUUAAUUCGAUGCAACGCGAAGAACCUUACCAGGUCUUGACAUCCCGCUGACCGGCCUAGAGAUAGGCUUUUCCCUUCGGGGACAGCGGUGACAGGUGGUGCAUGGUUGUCGUCAGCUCGUGUCGUGAGAUGUUGGGUUAAGUCCCGCAACGAGCGCAACCCUUGAUCUUAGUUGCCAGCAUUCAGUUGGGCACUCUAAGGUGACUGCCGGUGAUAAACCGGAGGAAGGUGGGGAUGACGUCAAAUCAUCAUGCCCCUUAUGACCUGGGCUACACACGUGCUACAAUGGCGUAAACAAAGGGAAGCAAAGCUGUGAGGCCUAGCAAAUCUCAAAAAUAACGUCUCAGUUCGGAUUGUAGUCUGCAACUCGACUACAUGAAGCUGGAAUCGCUAGUAAUCGCGAAUCAGCAUGUCGCGGUGAAUACGUUCCCGGGUCUUGUACACACCGCCCGUCAA